AACGAACGCUGGCGGCGCGUCUUAAGCAUGCAAGUCGGACGGCAAGGCGGGAGCUUGCUCCUGCCCUAGAGUGGCGGACUGGUGAGUAACACGUGGGUGACAUACCCUCUGGUUGGGGAUAGCCGGUAGAAAUACCGGAUAAUACCGAAUACGAACGCACAGGUUAGGGUGGUGCGAGGAAAGGAGCCACGGCUUCGCCGGAGGAUUGGCCCGCGGCCCAUUAGCUAGUUGGAGUGGUAAAGGCACACCAAGGCAAUGAUGGGUAUCCGGCCUGAGAGGGUGAUCGGACACAUUGGGACUGAGAUACGGCCCAGACUCCUACGGGAGGCAGCAGCUAAGAAUAUUCCGCAAUGGACGAAAGUCUGACGGAGCGACGCCGCGUGGAUGAGGAAGGCCGGAAGGUUGUAAAAUCCUUUUGGGACUGAAGAAUAAGCGGUGCAGGGAAUGGCAUUGUGGUGACGGUAGGUCCUGAAUAAGCAACGGCUAAUUACGUGCCAGCAGCCGCUGUAACAC
rnacentral:rRNA from 1 species